rnacentral:rRNA from 1 species
ACGCUGGCGGCAGGCCUAACACAUGCAAGUCGAGCGGAAACGACACUAACAAUCCUUCGGGUGCGUUAAUGGGCGUCGAGCGGCGGACGGGUGAGUAAUGCCUAGGAAAUUGCCUUGAUGUGGGGGAUAACCAUUGGAAACGAUGGCUAAUACCGCAUAAUGCCUACGGGCCAAAGAGGGGGAUCUUCGGGCCUCUCGCGUCAAGAUAUGCCUAGGUGGGAUUAGCUAGUUGGUGAGGUAAUGGCUCACCAAGGCGACGAUCCCUAGCUGGUCUGAGAGGAUGAUCAGCCACACUGGAACUGAGACACGGUCCAGACUCCUACGGGAGGCAGCAGUGGGGAAUAUUGCACAAUGGGCGAAAGCCUGAUGCAGCCAUGCCGCGUGUAUGAAGAAGGCCUUCGGGUUGUAAAGUACUUUCAGUUGUGAGGAAGGGUGUGUAGUUAAUAGCUGCRYMUCUUGACGUUAGCAACAGAAGAAGCACCGGCUAACUCCGUGCCAGCAGCCGCGGUAAUACGGAGGGUGCGAGCGUUAAUCGGAAUUACUGGGCGUAAAGCGCAUGCAGGUGGUUCAUUAAGUCAGAUGUGAAAGCCCGGGGCUCAACCUCGGAACUGCAUUUGAAACUGGUGAACUAGAGUGCUGUAGAGGGGGGUAGAAUUUCAGGUGUAGCGGUGAAAUGCGUAGAGAUCUGAAGGAAUACCAGUGGCGAAGGCGGCCCCCUGGACA